GGAUGUGGAUAUGCCGCUGCAGGAUGUGCAAAUCUGAUGAAGAAUCUCACGGAAGAGUUUCAUGAAGGAGAACAAGGCAACAAUCACAUGAUUGAAAACUUGAUUGGUUAAUUAGGACAUGGUUAAUUAUUUCUGCAUCUUUCUUUCUUGAAAGAUGUAAUUUUUGCAGUGUUCAAAGGUGUUAGAAAAGAAAGUUCAAGUUUUAAGUGUCUGAUUUUUGUAGCAGAGACUUUAUGAGGCUAGAAGGUACGGUAUGCAUUUAUCUUGCCCAUUUAUUUUUGCUUUCUCUGUGUUCCUGCGAUGGGUCAUGAGCUGAGAAAAAGAUAUUGAGUGAGCCCACUGUUAUGUUUGAUUCGGAUGGUUUACAUCCUUAGCUGAGGCAUUACUACAGAUGUAUGAGGGCAAAUGGGGUCACUUUCCAAGUGUCUUAAGCUUAUAGAUUUUGGAAUGGACCAUCCUGAUAAACAGAACUUUUCUCUGUUACUUUUGUGUAAACAUGAUUUAAGAGCAUACAUUUAUCUAUCUCCAGAACCCUGUGACUCAAAAUAAGCUGCAAGCCAGCAAGAAUAUGAUUUAUUGUAUCUCCCUUCCUUGAUUUUUUUCUUCUUUACCUAUGAUAUUUCUUUCGCAGAACCUGCUUUUGUUCCU